AGUUUUUUUUAACAUUACAGCAUGUAAAUAUGUUCUAGUAGAAACACAAAAUACAAGUAUGAACCUGAAAAUGAGCAUAAUAUGGGACCUUUAAAAUCCAUUGAUCCAGCUCAUUUCAUACACACAAUGCAGGCUGUAAAUCCUCAAAUUAUACAUUGGUUUUUUUCUUACCCAGAGGAGAAAUGAAAGGAAAUGAAGGCUUUUGCUACUGAAACUAUAGUCAGGCUCCACUCUCUGAACAAAUGGAAAGCAGCUGAACAAGCAAAGUCUGAGCUUUAACAAUAUACCUGUUCCUGCAAGUGGGUCCCAUCUCCAUCUUAUCAGCCAUUGACAUUCCUGAUGGACGGAGACAGGCAGGAGGACAGAGGUGGUUGCUAGACAGGACCUAACGACAAUCAGAGGAGGAGAGGGAAAACGGGGUGAAAGAAAAGAGACAGAUGCAUGCUCUUUAUUCUUUCUCGCGUCUUCUGUAUUUUCCUCCUUUUUAAUGGCCUGUCAGCAUUUUGUUCCUCUUUCUUACUGCCACCAUCUCUCUCCGUCCUUCUCUUCAUUCUUCUCCCACUCAGCUGACAUGACUCUUCCUUAAGCUCUCGUUCUCCAUCGCCCUGUCUUCCUCUGUCUCUCAGUCUCACGCUCUUUCUGUGCUUUCGUCUGUCUGACGUCAGAGAGGAGUAGGAGACAGGCUCGGCCUCUCUGAUUGGUCAGAGGAGACAACACCCUCAGCCCUGGUUUACCGUCCUGAGUGGAUGAUAUGAAUUGACAAGAGAUAUAUGAUUUAAGGUUAGUGCCUUAUCCCGCUCAAGAGCAAGUGUAUGCACCUGCAAAGAUAUGUUUGUGUUCAUAUGUGUUUGCAUACAUGCUUGUGUUUGUGUUAAUGUCUAUUUUGUAUUCUGCUGCUCUGAGUGUGUGCCACUGUGUUAAUAUAAUUAUUAUUUGUAUGCAAAAGUGUCUUAGUUUAACAAAAAAAUAUAUUAACUCAAGGUCAACUAGCCCUACCAGCAAAGUGAGUUCGCUCAGUCGCCAUCACGUUGCGUAAGUAUGGAACUUUAGUCAUGUGAUAGUCAUUUAUGUAAUAUUAAUAUAAUAGUUAUUGUAUAUUAAAAUACCAUUAUACUGCAUUAUUUUUGCAAGUUUUAGCUCUUGCUUGUGUAAUCUACAUAUACUGUCACUGCUGACAAUACUGCAUAGUUUUAUAUUUUUCAAUGCAUUCGAAUUUCCAUUUAUUAAUUUAUGGUAUGAAAAUGGAUUAAAAUAUCCAUUAGUCAUAACUUCACGUCUCUUUUUAUAUUUUGUAUUUUAUUGAGUUUAUUAAAUAUAAUGUUUGUUGACAUUCCUAAUAUCAAUAGUAAAACAUCUGGGGGGGGGGGGGAUUUUGGGUCCCAUCUUGAUGAUGACGUGGCGAAACAUUUUAUUGAAUGCAAAGAAAAUUACAUUACGUUCUAAUAAAUCCUAUGAGACCCAAUAUAAGAUUAUUCACAGAGUACAUGUAACCCCAGCAAUCCGAUCUAAAUAUGACCCUAUAUGCUCUCCAUUAUGUCCAAAAUGUAAAAAUAGCUGUGGCUCAUAUAAUCAUCUUGUGUGCCCUAAAAAUUGUAACUCUUUGGCUGUCAGUCCAAAGCGAGAUUAAGAAAGUAUUUAGGAAAGAUAUACCUCUAAACCCACAUAUUUCUGUACUGGGAUUAGACUCUAAUUAUGAACGUAAGUACAGGUACAGUAUUACAAAAAUGGUUGGACAAAGAAACCCCUGAUAUUGUAGCAUGGUAUGUAAACCUUAUGUCUAUUUUGCCAUUGAAGAGAUUAUCAAGUGUGUUAAGAGGUACUCUUGAUGUGUUUGUAAGUGACUGGUCCCCAAUAGUAAUAUACUGUACCUGGAAGACUAAUAAGUAUGGGCGUAACAAAUAUAACAGUAUGAGUAUGUGCAAUUGUUCAAUUUAUCGGGUUGUGACUUGCUGAUGCUCAAAUUUUAUUCUUAUUUUUAUUUAAUUUCUUUGUUGUGUUUUUUUUUUCUGUGAGUGUGUGUAUCUGGGUGUGUUUUUGUUUUGUGGUUUUCGGUAUGUCUUGUCUCAAUUGUAGGUCUCACUUUAUUAUGUUGAAAAGAAAAACAUUGAAAGAGAAUUUAUUAAAUAGUUUGCACUGCACUGUCUCACAACUAUAAUAUAACUCUGACAAAAACAAAUGCAUAGUUGUUGUUCACUGUGAUGGAUUACACAACCAAAGAAAGUCCAACAAUUGAUUCCAACCAUACAGAAAUGAAUGGAAACCAAUGGCUGCCUGGAAGGUCAAAAAAACAUAUUUCAUGUAAAAUUUCAUGUAACAACGCUUCAGCAUGGUCAGUAGUGAUGUAAAUUAUACAUGAUUUACCAUAAUUGGAAUUAAAUAUGCAGACUCA